AUUAAGGUCUUGCCUGCCCAGUGAAUAAUUUAACGGCCGCGGUAUCAUAACCGUGCAAAGGUAGCGUAAUCACUUGUCUUCCAAAUAGAGACCUGUAUGAAUGGCUAAAUGAGGGCAUAUCUGUCUCCUCAGGCCAACCAAUGAAACUGAUUUACCAGUACAAAAGCUGGUAUACCCCCAUAAGACGAGAAGACCCUGUGGAGCUUCAAAUACAAGCACUAAUAUUAACCCAACCCACCCCAGGACUACACACACCUUAAAAUAGUGUUAAUUUUAAGUUGGGGCAACUGCGGAAUAUAGAAAAUCUUCCACGACACAGGCUUACCCCAUCGAAGACAAACAAGUCAACGAUAAUACCAUUGACCCAGUAAAUACUGAUCAACGAACCAAGUUACCCCAGGGAUAACAGCGCCAUCCCCUUCAAGAGUCCAUAUCGCCAAGGGGGCUUACGACCUCGAUGUUGGAUCAGGACACCCAGGUGGUGCAGCCGCUACCUAAGGUUCGUUUGUUCAACGAUCAAUGUCCUACGUGAUC
rnacentral:rRNA from 1 species